CCCACUGGAGCAGAGAUGGUAGCAAGUUGGAUUACUGUGAUCACAAUGUGAGCUUGCUCAUCUCCCUGCGGAGGGCCGUGGCCCUGACGAGGCUGCCGAUGGUGUUGACGGCGAGCUUGAUGUCCUCGAGGGGGUUCCCGGGCACGACACGCUUGUAGAGGUAGCUGUCGAAGGUCAUCCGCUGCACGUAGUCGUCAGCGCACAUCUCCACGAAGGCCUCCCUGGCGGCGUUGGAGCGGUAGAAGACCUUCUGCAGGAUGUCGAGCACCUUGUAGGUCGGCCAGUAGAGCCUGUCGAACUCCGCCAGGUACUUGCGGAGGUCGCCUUCCUCCACCAGCCUCGUCCCGUUCGCCGACCCGGCCACGAUCGCCUCCGCGCACAUCCUCCCGCUCUUCGCCGCGAAGUAGAUCCC
rnacentral:lncRNA from 1 species